rnacentral:rRNA from 1 species
GUCGAGCGGUAAGGCCUUUCGGGGUACACGAGCGGCGAACGGGUGAGUAACACGUGGGUGAUCUGCCCUGCACUUCGGGAUAAGCCUGGGAAACUGGGUCUAAUACCGGAUAUGACCUCCUAUCGCAUGGUGGGUGGUGGAAAGAUUUAUCGGUGCAGGAUGGGCCCGCGGCCUAUCAGCUUGUUGGUGGGGUAAUGGCCUACCAAGGCGACGACGGGUAGCCGACCUGAGAGGGUGACCGGCCACACUGGGACUGAGACACGGCCCAGACUCCUACGGGAGGCAGCAGUGGGGAAUAUUGCACAAUGGGCGAAAGCCUGAUGCAGCGACGCCGCGUGAGGGAUGACGGCCUUCGGGUUGUAAACCUCUUUCAGCAGGGACGAAGCGCAAGUGACGGUACCUGCAGAAGAAGCACCGGCUAACUACGUGCCAGCAGCCGCGGUAAUACGUAGGGUGCAAGCGUUGUCCGGAAUUACUGGGCGUAAAGAGUUCGUAGGCGGUUUGUCGCGUCGUUUGUGAAAACCAGCAGCUCAACUGCUGGCUUGCAGGCGAUACGGGCAGACUUGAGUACUGCAGGGGAGACUGGAAUUCCUGGUGUAGCGGUGAAAUGCGCAGAUAUCAGGAGGAACACCGGUGGCGAAGGCGGGUCUCUGGGCAGUAACUGACGCUGAGGAACGAAAGCGUGGGUAGCGAACAGGAUUAGAUACCCUGGUAGUCCACGCCGUAAACGGUGGGCGCUAGGUGUGGGUUCCUUCCACGGAAUCCGUGCCGUAGCUAACGCAUUAAGCGCCCCGCCUGGGGAGUACGGCCGCAAGG